CCUACGGGCGGCUGCAGUGAGGAAUAUUGGUCAAUGGACGAGAGUCUGAACCAGCCAAGUAGCGUGAAGGAUGACUGCCCUAUGGGUUGUAAACUUCUUUUAUAUGGGAAUAAAAUGUUCCACGUGUGGGAUUUUGUAUGUACCAUAUGAAUAAGGAUCGGCUAACUCCGUGCCAGCAGCCGCGGUACUACGGAGGAUCCGAGCGUUAUCCGGAUUUAUUGGGUUUAAAGGGAGCGUAGGUGGAUUGUUAAGUCAGUUGUGAAAGUUUGCGGCUCAACCGUAAAAUUGCAGUUGAUACUGGCAGUCUUGAGUACAGUAGAGGUGGGCGGAAUUCGUGGUGUAGCGGUGAAAUGCUUAGAUAUCACGAAGAACUCCGAUUGCGAAGGCAGUUCACUGGACUGCAACUGACACUGAGGCUCGAAAGUGUGGGUAUCAAACAGGAUUAGAUACCCGAGUAGUC
rnacentral:rRNA from 1 species